GAUGAACGCUGGCGGCGUGCCUAAUACAUGCAAGUCGAGCGAACGGACGAGAAGCUUGCUUCUCUGAUGUUAGCGGCGGACGGGUGAGUAACACGUGGAUAACCUACCUAUAAGACUGGGAUAACUUCGGGAAACCGGAGCUAAUACCGGAUAAUAUUUUGAACCGCAUGGUUCAAAAGUGAAAGACGGUCUUGCUGUCACUUAUAGAUGGAUCCGCGCUGCAUUAGCUAGUUGGUAUGGUAACGGCUUACCAAGGCAACGAUGCAUAGCCGACCUGAGAGGGUGGUCGGCCACACUGGAACUGAGACACGGUCCAGACUCCUACGGGAGGCAGCAGUAGGGAAUCUUCCGCAAUGGGCGAAAGCCUGACGGAGCAACGCCGCGUGAGUGAUGAAGGUCUUCGGAUCGUAAAACUCUGUUAUUAGGGAAGAACAUAUGUGUAAGUAACUGUGCACAUCUUGACGGUACCUAAUCAGAAAGCCACGGCUAACUACGUG
rnacentral:rRNA from 1 species